rnacentral:rRNA from 1 species
GAUUUCUGACAUUACUUCCUAACCCACAAUCCUUCGGGGUGUGAGUGUUGGGUUGUCUUUUGCCAUCUUUCUGGGUGACCAUAGCUCUACAUUUACUUGUCGGGUUAUGGCCAAUCCAGAUCGAUUACCUUGAAAAAAUUAGAGUGUUUAAAGCAGGCUUAUGCCAUGAAUAGAUUAGCAUGGAAUAAUAAAUUAGGACUUCUGCCCUAUUUUAUUGGUUUGAGGCGUAGGAGUAAUGAUUGAUAGGGACAGUUGGGGGUGCUAGUAUUCCGAGGUCAGAGGUGAAAUUCUUGGAUUCUCGGAAGACUGACUACUGCGAAAGCAUU